ACCCCACAUCAAGAGUUGGGGCGACGCCCAACGCCAACCUGCCUUUCCGGGCAAGGUGGCACUCCCUUUUCGGGAGGAUGUGGCCCGACCGGCAACCAAGCGGAUCAAG
rnacentral:ncRNA from 2 species